UGGCUCAGAUUGAACGCUGGCGGCAGGCCUAACACAUGCAAGUCGAGCGGUAGAGAGAAGCUUGCUUCUCUUGAGAGCGGCGGACGGGUGAGUAAUGCCUAGGAAUCUGCCUGGUAGUGGGGGAUAACGUUCGGAAACGGACGCUAAUACCGCAUACGUCCUACGGGAGAAAGCAGGGGACCUUCGGGCCUUGCGCUAUCAGAUGAGCCUAGGUCGGAUUAGCUAGUUGGUGAGGUAAUGGCUCACCAAGGCGACGAUCCGUAACUGGUCUGAGAGGAUGAUCAGUCACACUGGAACUGAGACACGGUCCAGACUCCUACGGGAGGCAGCAGUGGGGAAUAUUGGACAAUGGGCGAAAGCCUGAUCCAGCCAUGCCGCGUGUGUGAAGAAGGUCUUCGGAUUGUAAAGCACUUUAAGUUGGGAGGAAGGGUUGUAGAUUAAUACUCUGCAAUUUGACGUACCGACAGAAUAGACCCGACUCC
rnacentral:rRNA from 1 species